rnacentral:rRNA from 1 species
AGCGAACGCUGGCGGCGUGCCUAACACAUGCAAGUCGAACGUGAAAGGGAGCAAUCCUGAGUAAAGUGGCGUACGGGUGAGUAACGCGUAGGUAAUCUACCCUAGAGUCUGGAAUAACCUGCCGAAAGGCGGGCUAAUACUGGAUAGAGCGACGGAAUCCGUAAUUGGGUUUUUCGGGAAAGGGAGCUCGCAAGAGCCUUCGCUUUGGGAUGAGCCUGCGUCUCAUUAGCUAGUUGGNGGGGUAAAGACCCACCAAGGCUAUGAUGGGUAGCUGGUCUGAGGAGGAUGAUCAGCCACACUGGAACU